AGUGAUCAUCGAAUCUUUGAACGCACCUUGCACCCUUUGGUAUUCCGAAGGGUAUGCUCGUUUGAGUCUCAUUGUACUCUCACACUCUCUAAUCUUGUUUGGAUUGGGAGUGGUGGACUUGGGUGUUGCUGCUUUACCGUGGCUCACCUUAAAUGUGUUAGUGCAACUCUUAGUUGGACAUAGUACGGCGUGAUAAGUAUCUUCGCCGGCACCUCGAAAGAGGGUGGCCAGUUGGGAGCUCUGUGCUUUCAAACUGUCUUUGGACAAUAUCUGACAACUUGAGCUCAAAUCGAGUAGGACUACCCGCUGAACUUAAGCAUAUCAAUAAG
rnacentral:rRNA from 1 species